UGAGGAAUAUUGGUCAAUGGGCGCAAGCCUGAACCAGCCACGUCGCGUGAAGGAAGACGGCCCUACGGGUUGUAAACUUCUUUUGUAAGGGAAUAAAGUGUAGUACGUGUACUAUUUUGCAUGUACCUUACGAAUAAGGAUCGGCUAACUCCGUGCCGGCAGCCGCGGUAAUACGGAGGAUCCGAGCGUUAUCCGGAUUUAUUGGGUUUAAAGGGUGCGCAGGCGGGAGAUUAAGUCGGCGGUGAAAUUUUGCAGCUUAACUGUAAAAGUGCCUUCGAAACUGGUUUCCUUGAGUGUAGAUGAAGUAGGCGGAAUUUGUGGUGUAGCGGUGAAAUGCAUAGAUAUCACGAGGAACUCCGAUUGCGCAGGCAGCUUACUAAACUACUACUGACGCUCAGGCACGAAGGCGUGGGGAUCAAACAG
rnacentral:rRNA from 1 species